rnacentral:rRNA from 1 species
UACGGUAGGGGGCAAGCGUUGUCCGGAUUUAUUGGGCGUAAAGAGCGUGUAGGCGGUUUGGUAGGUCCGUUGUGAAAACUCGAGGCUCAACCUCGAGACGCCGAUGGAAACCAUCUGACUAGAGUCCGGAAGAGGAGAGUGGAAUUCCUGGUGUAGCGGUGAAAUGCGCAGAUAUCAGGAAGAACACCCGUGGCUAAGGCGGCUCUCUAGUACGUGACUGACGCUGAGACGCGAAAGCGUGGGGAGCGAACAGG